AAGCAGUUGGUAUCAACGCAGAGUACAUUGCAAAACAGAGUUCAAACUUUUACAUCUUUGGAUUAAACUACAUUUGAACCUUUUCAUUUUCUUUGUGCAUGCAGUUCAAA